CGCAGUCACCAUGGCAACCUGAGACGCCUCGCGUUCCGGUUCCUCCCCGCGGGCAGCAAAGCCGAGAGGGCCAGCCAGCCAACCUUCGCCCUGGAAGAAGACCCCCGUGGCAUGAGGGGGGAGGAGGCGGUGACCGCGGGGGUGGUGCCCGAGGCGGGCCUUGACCGGGAGCCGCCUCCGCAGCCCGAAGGCCUGGGGUACGGAGCGCGUGGGGACCCCGGCGGCGGCGGCCCCCAGGAAUCCCGUAAGCAGUGGAAGAAAUUUUUAUAUUGUGAGCCACAUAGGAGAAUUAAGGAAGUACUGGAAGAAGAACUUUAUAUUAAGAGAGAUGAAUGCCACGUUAAAAAUCCACCUGCAGUGGCCCUGGAGGGGAUCUGGAGCAUCCAAAGGAAUCUCCCUGUGGGAGGCUUGAAGCCAGGACCGCCAACCAGAAACAGUUUACUGCCGCAAGCCAAGUACUAUUCGAGGCACGGAGGGCUGAGAAUCCUCAGUCAGAAUCCAAUCUUCUUUUGACUCGCUUCCUCAGGUUAUGAGCAGCAGGUCUGGGGUGGGAUUGGAGAGUCUGCAUUUCUGACCAGCUCCCGGGCAAUGCUGAUGUUGCUUGUCCAGACACUGGACUCUGGGAUAAAAUGGACAACUAUUCCAUUGAGAAGAAACCUCUUUCCCCUGAUGCCUGAAAAACAGAAGAAACCCAAGCUUAUUUCAUAGUUUAGAUGUGUUAAAAAUGUAUAUUAGUCUGGGGGGUUCUUAUUGUGGCUCAGUGGGUUACGAACCUAUUAUCCGUGAGGAUGCAGGUUCAAUCCCUGGCCUUGCUCAAUGGGUUAAGGAUCCAGUAUGGCCGUGAGCUGUGGUAUAGGCUGGCAGCUGCAGCUCUGAUUCAACCCCUAGCCUGGGAACUUCCAUGUGUUGCAGAUGCAGCCCUAAAAAGCAAAAUAAAAAAGUAUAUUAGUUUGUAAUUCCUAUUAUUUGUAUAAGCUCCUAUCUAUAAAUGAAUCCAAAGCAAUGACAGACUAUUGGUAAAAUUGCUAAGUACCUGAAAACAGUGAAGGAAAAUAUUAUAUUUAUUUUUGGUUGUCACAGUCGAAUACAAUCAGGCUUCUAAUUCAACUUAUUAAAUAUGUCAAAUGUGAUCAAACAAAGGCAUGUUUAUUGAGUCUUCACUUCGAGGUAAACAUCAUAAAUAUUAAUCUUUCACUGGAGUAUAAUUACAUUCAUCCAUUAAAAAAAUUCAGUUAUAGGUAAAGGUUAGUGAAUAAAUAAUAGAUGAAAAGUUUCUGACUCAGAACCAUUUUAAUGCUCUCCUUGGUAGAGCUAGUCAUUUCUCUAGAAUUUGUCCACUAAAUAGUAAAGAGCCAGGAAAUUUAUGAGGAGAUCUUAAAAACGGUUCGGGGGGCACAAUUUACAAAUACUAUUUGGGCUAAAAUACAAAUACUACUGGGCUAAAAAGAGGUUAAAAAGGAGAGGAGAAAAAAAACCCUUCCUUUUGCCCCCAGUUGUCAAAAGUAAUGUAUAAACAGUAUAGAAGAAAAUGAAAAAUAAAGAAAAAUAAAGGAGGCAUUCCCGUUGUGGCACAGUGGAAACCAAUCUA